AGCGAACGCUGGCGGCAGGCCUAACACAUGCAAGUCGAGCGCCCCGCAAGGGGAGCGGCAGACGGGAGAGUAACACAUAAAAACAUGCCCUUCAGUUCGGAACAACCCAGGGAAGCUUGAGCUAAUACCGGAUACAUCCGUAAGGAGAAAGAUUUAUCGCUGAAGGAUUGGCCCGCGUCCGAUUAGCUAGUUGGUGAGGUAAUGGCUCACCAAGGCGACGAUCGGUAGCUGGUCUGAGAGGAUGAUCAGCCUCACUGGGACUGAGACACGGCCCAGACUCCUACGGGAGGCAGCAGUGGGGAAUAUUGGACAAUGGGCGCAAGCUUGAUCCAGCCAUGCCGCGUGGGUGAUGAAGGCCCUAGGGUUGUAAAGCCCUUUCGGCGAGGAAGAUAAUGACGGUACCCGCAGAAGAAGCCCCAGCUAACUUCGUGCCAGCCGCCGCCGUAAAAC
rnacentral:rRNA from 1 species